AUCAACUGAAGCUUUUACAAAAUUCAAGUACUUAACUCCACUUCAGAUUUCCUCACUCAGAACCUCUUGUGCUUGUGCUAUAAUGGUCUGUGAAGCUCCUUGCCGCUCGAAAUUCUCUAAAAGAAAAAGAGGAAAUGUUACCAUAGAAGUUUAUGCAUUAGCUCAGCUGCUCAUUAGUGGAGAUUAAAACUUUUGGGAUGGAUUUAUUGCCUCUUACAUUCACCUAGCUGAGAAUAAGACCCUGAAGCAACAGCAAGGGGAAAAAAGAGGGGUCGGUUUUAAUAGAGAAGAAGGCAGCCAAGAAAGUCCCAAGAAUUUGGCAAUCGAUGCCCAUGCCUUUGUGGGCUUUGUGUUGGCACCUCUGGGCCGCCCAAGGUCAGCAUGAAGGCACUAGAAAAAAAGAGCCUACUGUCAAUACCUUUUACCCCCUUAAAAUGUUUUCUGGAGUCACCUGGCAGUUCAAGGGGUGGUGCCAAGAGAUCCGGAGUGGAACAGACCCACGGUAUGAAGAGGGAAGGUCUAGGCCCAUCUGCCCCCUUCCAUGAAACCAAACUCAAGCGUCUGCAUCAAGAGCAUGACUUCAGGCAAUCUUGGAUAGCUUCUCCAACUCUGACAACAUUCCAUGAUACAAAGAAUACGUAAACUAGGCUUUGAAGAGAAAAGAAUGAAACUCUACAAUUCAAGCACAAAAAAAGGAGGAGGAGGAGAAGGAGGAAGAGGACGAGGAGGAGGAGGAGGAGAAGAAGAAAAACAACCUAGAAGCCUAUUUUUCACACCUCUUUCUUGCUCACCCAUUAGAAAUCUUGAAAUCUCCUCCCCAGCAAUAAUUCUUCUGUGACUUCUCAUUAGAAACCUGCUUAAGAUAGAAUAUUAAAUCACAGCA